GACAGAGGUGCCAAGCGUUAGGCGGAAUCACUGGGCUUAAAGCGUGUGUAGGCGGAUUUGUAAGUACCUUGUGAAAUCCCACGGCUCAACCGUGGAACUGCCCGGUAUACUGCUUAUCUUGAGCCACUUAGGGGCUACCGGAACAAAUGGUGGAGCGGUGAAAUGCGUAGAUAUCAUUUGGAACGCCAAUGGUGAAAACAGGUAGCUGGGAGUGUGCUGACGCUGAGACACGAAAGCCAGGGGAGCGAACGGG
rnacentral:rRNA from 1 species